UACGUAGGGUGCGAGCGUUGUCCGGAAUUAUUGGGCGUAAAGGGCUCGUAGGCGGUUUGUCGCGUCGGGAGUGAAAUCCACUGGCUUAACUGGUGGCUUGCUUUCGAUACGGGCAGACUGGAGGUAUGCAGGGGAGAACGGAAUUCCUGGUGUAGCGGUGAAAUGCGCAGAUAUCAGGAGGAACACCGGUGGCGAAGGCGGUUCUCUGGGCAUGUCCUGACGCUGAGGAGCGA
rnacentral:rRNA from 1 species